UUUGGGCCCUGUCUCUGCCAUCUGACAAAAAAACUCUCAGAAUGUGUCGAUGCAAAUUCUGUGAACCUAGUGGUGUCCAGCAGCGCAAUGAGAUUGUAUCCAAUCUGAUCUCCAGCAAAAAGUUCUUUUGUCAUAGUAAUAAACAUGUUCUUUCCAUGGACUACCUGCCGACUAUGCGCUCAAUCUGCAGAGCUGAGAAAGUUAAAGAACAGUGCUCUUUAAGACAUUCACACUAUCUCUCAAGCCUUCACCUGCCCAGAAGCUUGCUGGAAUUCAUGGCCUUGGAUUUCCCUUGAUGUGUGAUUGACAUGCUGCUUUAGAAAAUCCUCCAUGACUUCUAAACUGUUUACUGUAUUGUGGCAUGAGUGUGACUUGUGUUUGUAGAUUGUAGAGUCACAGAAAUAUAUUUGUACGAUCGAUCAUUUAUUCUUGGAAAAUAAAGAAAUUUAUUUUUCUAAUUAGC